CUGUCCCUGAACCGCUCGGUCUUCGAUCCCUUCACGAUGAGCGCCGUCAUGUUGCCGAUCAGGUACGCGCUGAGGAGGAUGCUGAACGAGAUGUACACCACGGGUGAUCAAGAGCUGGAGUCUUGCGGGUCAUGAGAGGGGAAAAGAUAUCAUUUUGAUUCAUGUGCAGGAUUGCAGGGUGAUUGAGAACUCUAGAAAAGAAAAAUGAACGAAACAACUAAAAAUAAUUUAUGGAUAAAACUUAUUUACUUGUACUGUUAGAUAUGAAUGAAAACCACCAAAAUCAACGCUGAAGUUGAUGAGCCAAUAUAAGCAGACUUUUUUUUUUCUUGAAGUUGACAUACCAACAGUUGCCAUGGUGACAAUGGCGAGGUAGAGCGAGGUGAUGUAGCGGGUGAGCAGGUCGAUCUCCCUGAAGUUGAUGUACCUGGCGUCGCCGAGGGUGAGGCUGCCGAUCCAGGUGCCCUCCUCGCGCGCCGGCGGCAGCGUGGUGGCGAGGUAGUAGAAGACGCAGGCGGCGGUGUGGGUGCAGUAGAGCUCGACGGUGAUGAGCUUCACGAUCCUGGUGAAGAGGUAGCUGACCCGGAUGUCCUUCUCCACCUUCUUGAAGAAGGCCAUGAUCUUCCUCGCCCUGUACAGCCUCAGCCACACCAGAUGGCGUCCCAGGGGAAGCAGCCGAGCACGUCGAGAGCGAAGCUGCCUUUGAUGUAGCUGAGAGAAAAAAAAACACAGUCCUGAUCAACGGUGAUCUCUGCCUGCUACAUCUUUGAUCGGUUCUUGGUAUCAUUUCGUUUUUGGUGUUUGAGCUGAGCUGUUGUUCUCACCGGAGCGCGAUCAGGCGCUUGUCGUAGACCAUCCUGUAGGUGUGGGAGUCCCGGUAGGCGAGGAAGAAGUGGACGGCGACGUCGGCGAGGAAGACGAGCUGGACGCACUCGAGGUCCAGCAGCUGCUCGGGGAGGCCACGGAAGAAGCUGAACUCGAAGGGUGUGAAGAAGGUGGAGUAGAUGGACCACAAGAACAUCAUGUUCGCCCAGAUCCUGUACCACCUGCAGAAAUUCACCAAGCAGGCAGACUGAUCAGCAAACAAACACUGAAAACUAUCACCAAGCAGGAGUUCUCUAAUUGGCUACCCAUGGACAUCUCACGUGAAGUUCACUGCUCUUGCAUGCAAUGGUAGCUAACUAGGUGAGUCUUCUCUGAUGAAACCAGACAGACUGUUUGAUAUAUCCAGCUUGAGAGCUUAAUUAAGCUCUGAGCUGAUGAUGAGAGAUCAAAACCUUUCGCUUACCUGCCAUUCGGGUGUAUGACAAGGCUGUCAUAGAGAUCCUUUGGUAGCCUCAAGGCGCUGCUGCCAUGCCAGCUGCUGCUUCUCCUUGACUUGAGCUCCCUUGCAAACAGUGAGAGCCUGCUCCCCACAGAGCCAUGCAAGGUGUCAUCUAUCUCGUUCAGCUCAUACUCUUCAGCCAUCUCCCUGUCCAUGGCGCCUCCCCAACCCCUAGCUCUCUCUUUCGGCUCCUCUCUCUCUCUCUCCUUUACCAGUGUCACAUUCCUCUAUAUAUGCACUGCAAAUUUUCAAUGCAAAGAAACGAACAGGAUGGUGCAUACGUAUAUGUGAGUAUACAUCUUAGCAUGUGGCCUGCCACUUUCUGUUGCAGAAGAGCAAGAGAGAAGCAAUUGUGCGCCUGCACAAAUGGCACCACCGGUAUUGAGGCUCAACUGGGUUCAAUUCUAGUUACAAAUGCUGUUGUCAUCAACCCCAUCUCGUCCCCUGAUUAAAUGCUUAAAGAACUACUUGCAGUGCAUGGCUCAUGUUGGCAUAGUGAUGGCUGGCUGCAGCAUGGUGCACUGCUAGUUUGCUACUGUGACUAAAGAAAUGGUCUGGUGCUGCUCCUUUUUUGUUCAUUGGAGCAAACCAGCAGCUGGCUUUCUUUUUUGCUCCUCCAUGCAGUUUUGGACCUUGUUUGCGUCUACGGCUACAUGACAUGGAUGGCCGUUUAAAAUUGGCACCUUUUUCUCUGAAUGGGGAUUUGUGUCUUGCAAGUAGGCAAGUUGCAAUGCAGAAAACAUCAAAUUCUGUUGUGAUUUGUGAAAUGUAGUGACCUCUGCAUGCAUCAUAUCACUGGUUAGCUGCUGCCUCCCUGACCAGAGCUGAAAAAUUACUGCUGCAUUGCAAGCUUGCAGCUGGCUUCUCACAUGCUGCAUACUGCAUACAAAGCAAUUAUGCAGUGCAGCCAAGUGGUGGUACUGGUUCUACACAUCAUAGCUGCAAGGACCAGGUCAUUUAUAGUAGUCUUAUACUCACUUGUACUGGUCAAAGAUCCUCAAAGGGAUCGACUGAAUCCUGUCUGAUCAGAUUUGGGUUGUUACUCCAUGAAUGCUUCCCCAGAAGCUUUGAGUACUGUUACAUCAAGUACUAGUCUUACCAAUCCGAUGAAGGUUUUCUUAGACAGUGGAAGCGAAACUUCUGACCUCUUCGCCACUUAAGAAUUGCAGCAAACUAUCAAAUGGAGGUGAAAGAAGAAUCUACGGUGGACAGUUUGGCUACCUAAAUCUUUUAACGUUAAAACGGGGUGCAACUAGAUUAUGGAGCUUGGCCAACCAUAUUAGAGCUCUCCAAAAUCCAGAAAACUUUUGUCCAACGCAGAGAAAUUGCAAGUAAAAACUGGUCAAAACUCAAAAGCAGAUCAAAGCUUGGCUCAGAACUGUCCAUUCAGGCUUGUCAUCUGUCAGGUAUCUUGCUAGUGCGCAGCUGCGUGUCAUCUUCAGAAGAUGGCAAGGUUAGCCUUGCCUUUCACUUGGAUUAGCUUUUGCGUUGACGAGGCUAGUAUAAAAUUUGAAGCUGACUAGAACUCUCUCUUUCAAGGUGUUGGUUUAAACUUAACCUUUAGCUAAUGACUCAGCUGAUUGGUGUUUACUGAGUGUUAAUAUACGAGCAGGUUGCCUGUAAUGCACAACCACAACUCGAGGCAACUUUACCAAGCAGAACAGUGCUGAAUUCAGCUGGAGUUCUCUGAACCUUUUGAUCAAGGCUUGCAUGCACCGACUGAAAGUUUGAAAAUGCAUUAAUCUAGGACCAUUUGGUGUGUCUUUUAAAUGUGAUCUGCUUAGAAUAGCUGCAUUAUGUUGGAGAGCCGGACAGACGAAGAACAUUGGGAGGGAAAAAGCUAUUAGAACUAGUGGAGGCAAAAUGGAUGGCCAUGGCCGGUUGUUCCACUAAUGAGUGCCAAUUGGAUUAGACAAAUAAUACAUGCAUGAUACAUUGUUAGUGAGAGGUUUCAUGGGGGGUUUAGCUUUACUAAGUUGUGGUUUCGAGCAGGUUAAGUGUUGGGAUUAGGACGAAGGUGCAGUAGUAGCUAGUGCAUCUGACACUCACUUGAGCUGCUUUGUUCCUUUAAUUUCUUUUGUAUCAUGUGUGGGCAUGAUAUGCUAAUGUUUGUGCUUGCACUAGCUCAAACUUAUGCGCUAAAUAGAUUAGUGCAUGAUGCUUAAGCUCCAAAAUGGAGGCUUCUGAACCUCUAUUUUGAUUAGUGCAUGUACUCGGCUACAUAAUUGUACUAUUGCCCCAUUGUACCAUAUUUAUUCUCCUGUAAUAAAUAAGUUGAUGGGAGUUUGACAUUGCGAUUAAUUCAAGUAUCGCCGU